AACGAACGCUGGCGGCAUGCCUAACACAUGCAAGUCGAGCGAGGACUUCGGGUCUAGCGGCGCACGGGUGAGUAACGCGUGGGAAUGUGCCCUUCUCUACGGAAUAACUCUGGGAAAGGGGUAGUAAUACCGUAUACGCCCUUCUGGCGAAAGAUUUAUCGGAGUAGGAUGAGCCCGCGUUGGAUUAGGUAGUUGGUAGGGUAAUGGCCUACCAAGCCGACGAUCCAUAGCUGGUUUGAGAGGAUGAUCAGCCACACUGGGACUGAGACACGGCCCAGACUCCUACGGGAGGCAGCAGUGGGGAAUCUUGGAAAAUGGGGGCAAGCCUGAUCGAGCCAUGCCGCGUGAGUGAUGAAGGCCUUAGGGUUGUAAAGCUCUUUUAGCUGGGAAGAUAAUGACGGUACCAGCAGAAGAAGCCCCGGCUAACUCCGUG
rnacentral:rRNA from 1 species